rnacentral:rRNA from 1 species
UAGUAGCGGCGAGCGAACAGGGAGGAGCCCAGCACUGAAUCGCGCGCCCACUGGGACGCUGCGAAAUGUGGUGUUUGGGAGGGUCCGCCAUUCCGUUGCGGGCGUUGCGUCCAAGUCCUUCUUGAACGGGGCCACACCCACAGAGGGUGCCAGGCCCGUAGCGACCAGCGCCCGCUGCGGAAGGAUCUCUCCCUUGAGUCGCGUUGCUUGAUAGUGCAGCGCUAAGCGGGUGGUAAACUCCAUCAAAGGCUAAAUAUAACCACGAGACCGAUAGCGAACAAGUACCGUGAGGGAAAGUUGAAAAGAACUUUGAAGAGAGAGUUCAAUAGUACGUGAAACCGUUUAGGGGUAAACCUGAGAAACCCGAAAAUUCGAACGGGGAGAUUCAGCGUGUCUCGGCGCGCGCGAGUCGCGCUUGGUCGACGAUCGCCGUCCGCGGUGUUCGCGCCUCGCGUUGCACCGCUGCGCGUCGAAUGCGUGCACUUCUCCCCGAAGUACAACGUCGCGACCUGUUGGGUGUCGGUCUACGGCUUCGCAGCUGCGUCCGCGCGCCGUUUGUGUGCGCGGGCUUGCGAUGUCCCGAUUGACUGCUCGAUGGUCACGCAGGGCGUAGAGUCGCGACUCGAUCGCGUUCGGCCGGGCGCAAGUACGGCCUGACCGCUCGACUCUCGGACCUGUGCCGAAGUCGGCGUCGGCUGGCUGUUCGCGUCCGCGCUCUCGAACAGACUCUGUGCACGCCCGUCAGCGGCGAUAUAGCUUUGGGUACUUUCAGGACCCGUCUUGAAACACGGACCAAGGAGUCUAGCAUGCAUGCGAGUCAUUGGGAGCAUCGAAUCCCGGUGGCGCAAUGAAAGUGAAGGAUGAGGUGUUACUCGUCCGAGGGACGAUGGGCGGCGCGGUGCGUCCGCGCACCGGCGUCGUCUCGCAGUCUCUGGGCGCCUCGUUCUCACUGCGAGUUGAGGUGCACCCUGAGCACACAUGCUGGGA